rnacentral:misc_RNA from 1 species
GAUGAAGAACGCAGCGAAAUGCGAUAAGUAAUGUGAAUUGCAGAAUUCAGUGAAUCAUCGAAUCUUUGAACGCAAAUUGCGCCCGCCAGUAUUCUGGCGGGCAUGCCUGUCUGAGCGUCAUUUCAACCCUCAUGCCCCUAGGGCGUGGUGUUGGGGAUCGGCCAAAGCCCGCGAGGGACGGCCGGCCCCUAAAUCUAGUGGCGGACCCGUCGUGGCCUCCUCUGCGAAGUAGUGAUAUUCCGCAUCGGAGAGCGACGAGCCCCUGCCGUUAAACCCCCAACUUUCCAAGGUUGACCUCAGAUCAGGUAGGAAUACCCGCUGAACUUAAGCAUAUCAAUAAGCGGAGGA